rnacentral:tRNA from 1 species
UGCACGAAGUAGUCGAACAGGAGGCGGGGCCGCUUCGAGAGGACGGCCACCGGGGUGUCGGUGCCCAUGGCGCCGAUCGGCUCGGCGCCCGUGCGG